rnacentral:rRNA from 1 species
GACGAACGCUGGCGGCGUGCUUAACACAUGCAAGUCGAACGGAAAGGCCCUGCUUUUGUGGGGUGCUCGAGUGGCGAACGGGUGAGUAACACGUGAGUAACCUGCCCUUGACUUUGGGAUAACUUCAGGAAACUGGGGCUAAUACCGGAUAGGAGCUCCUGCUGCAUGGUGGGGGUUGGAAAGUUUCGGCGGUUGGGGAUGGACUCGCGGCUUAUCAGCUUGUUGGUGGGGUAGUGGCUUACCAAGGCUUUGACGGGUAGCCGGCCUGAGAGGGUGACCGGCCACAUUGGGGCUGAGAUACGGCCCAGACUCCUACGGGAGGCAGCAGUGGGGAAUAUUGCACAAUGGGCGGAAGCCUGAUGCAGCAACGCCGCGUGCGGGAUGACGGCCUUCGGGUUGUAAACCGCUUUCGCCUGUGACGAAGCGUGAGUGACGGUAAUAGGUAAAGAAGCACCGGCUAACUACGUG